UGGGGAAUAUUGCACAAUGGGCGCAAGCCUGAUGCAGCCAUGCCGCGUGUGUGAAGAAGGCCUCGGGUUGUAAAGCACUUUCAGCGAGGAGGAAGGUGGUGAACUUAAUACGUUCAUCAAUUGACGUUACUCGCAGAAGAAGCACCGGCUAACUCCGUGCCAGCAGCCGCGGUAAUACGGAGGGUGCAAGCGUUAAUCGGAAUUACUGGGCGUAAAGCGCACGCAGGCGGUUUGUUAAGUCAGAUGUGAAAUCCCCGGGCUCAACCUGGGAACUGCAUUUGAAACUGGCAAGCUAGAGUCUCGUAGAGGGGGGCUAGAAUUCCAGGUGUAGCGGUGAAAUGCGUAGAGAUCUGGAGGAAUACCGGUGGCGAAGGCGGCCCCCCUGGACGAAGGCUGACGCUCAGGUGCGAAAGGCGUGGGGGCAGCAAACAGGAUUAGAUA
rnacentral:rRNA from 1 species